rnacentral:rRNA from 1 species
AUACGGGAGGCAGCAGUAGGGAAUUUUCGGCAAUGGGCGCAAGCCUGACCGAGCAACGCCGCGUGAGUGAUUAAGGCCUUCGGGUUGUAAAGCUCUGUUGUAAGGGAAGAAAAAUCAGUAGAGGAAAUGAUACUGAUCUGACGGUACCUUACCAGAAAGCCACGGCUAACUACGUGCCAGCAGCCGCGGUAAUACGUAGGUGGCAAGCGUUAUCCGGAAUUAUUGGGCGUAAAGGGUGCGUAGGCGGUUUAUUAAGUCUAUGGUGAAAGUGCGGGGCUCAACCCCGUAUGGCCAUAGAAACUGAUAGACUAGAGUGCAGGAGAGGGCAAUGGAAUUCCAUGUGUAGCGGUAAAAUGCGUAGAUAUAUGGAGGAACACCAGUGGCGAAGGCGGUUGCCUGGCCUGUAACUGACGCUGAAGCACGAAAGCGUGGGGAGCAAAUAGGAUUAGAUACCCGGGUAGUC